rnacentral:rRNA from 2 species
AAGUCGUAACAAGGUCUCCGUAGGUGAACCUGCGGAAGGAUCAUUA